rnacentral:RNase_P_RNA from 2 species
GGCAGGGAGCAGGUGGUUACCCCGGGCGAAAGCCGGGGGAGGAAAGUCCGAGCUCAUAAAGGAAACGUAGUGGGUAACGCCCAUCCCCCCGCUGUUUCGUUUUGUUUCGCUUUUGCGGAAGCAAAACGAAACAAAACGGCGGGGGAGGAUAUCCGCCACAAAUCGUGGCGGACCCGCCAAUUUUUUUGGCGGGAGAGCUACAGAGACGAGUCCCGCACCUUUUUCGUAUUCAAAGUUUCAAAAUGAAACCGUUGAAUAAUUAAAAGGUGCGGGGGUGAAACGAGCAAUCUCUACGUUGAGCAAGGCCGCAUAGGAGACGAGGGAUGCCUUUUCCCGAUAUCAGUCUCGGGUAGGCUGCUUGAUGCCGAAGGCAACUUCGGCACUCAGAGGAAUGACCACUAAGGAUAGCGGAAAAUUCGCAAUCGACACAGAACUCGGCUUAUGCUUCCUGCCGGUA